UUUAAAUCCAUCUUCCCUCCUGUCCUCACGGGGACAGCUGUCACCCGUAUGGGUGGGUGGGGGGGAAGGUGUGUGUGUUUGUGUGUGUGUCUCAGUGUGCGUGCGUGUCUCAGUGUGUGUGUGUGUGGUAUUUGCAUGUGUUGGGCUAGGAAAAUGGGCAGUGGAAGCAACUGACUGUCAGCAUCUAUUGACUGCUUGGUUAUAAACGGAAAUGUACACAAACCCCCAGAGCUGAUAAGAGGCAGGUUUCCAUGGUCUCCUGGAAGUCCCUGCUGCUAAGGAGUGUUUGUUGUUCCGUGGUAAAUUGAACGAGCAGAACAACAACGUGUCCGCCAGCUAGCGGCCUUAUUUGAUUCAGUAGGAUGUGAUGUUUCUCUCGGGGGAUGUAUCAAAUGUUUAUCGUGGCUGAGGGAACGUUUUAGAGAAACGCAGAGACGCCAGAGGACGUGAAUUAACGAACCCAGCCAGCCUUGACAUGAGACCACAACAAACCAGAAACAUGGGGUUUAAAACCCUGCCCAAACAAACUGUGCAUGAAAUACAACAUAUGUGCUUGUACGCAUGGUUCGUCAAGAUCCAGCACCGCUAAUGGAACAAACUACCAGUAGAUGCAUGAUUGGGAUGUAAAUAGUCCCUACCUAAGUACAUUUAUCUUCAUCAGUAUUUGUGUGUGUUUGUGUGUGUGUGUGUGUGUGUGUGUGUGUGUGUGUGUCUGCUCCUCAGUGUGACGGAGGUAAUAUAUGGAGGCUGAGCUGCAGCAGAGUCACAGCCCAACACGGUGCUGGUGGCUGAGCGGAUGAAUGACUCCUCGCUGUCGCUGCUGCGUGGGUGGGGUGGCAUCGCCGGGACAUGCCGGCCUCUCGGCUCCGGCGCUGUGUGUGUGUGUGUGUGUGUGUGCGUGUGCGUCAUUAGUCCCAUGUGUUUCCCAAAGUCGUCCGUGGAAUGUAAAGCAGCCUGGUCUUCCCUCUAGUCUCUCUUCCUCUCCUUCUUGGGGUGAGCACCCUGCUGAUUUCGGCGCGCCACGGUCCUCUUCGACCUCAACCUUGCGCUG